rnacentral:rRNA from 1 species
UACGAAGGGUGCAAGCGUUACUCGGAAUUACUGGGCGUAAAGCGUGCGUAGGCGGUUUGUUAAGUCCGUUGUGAAAGCCCUGGGCUCAACCUGGGAAUUGCAGUGGAUACUGGCGAGCUAGAGUGCGGUAGAGGAUGGUGGAAUUCCCGGUGUAGCGGUGAAAUGCGUAGAUAUCAGGAGGAACACCUGUGGCGAAAGCGGCUCACUGGACCAUAACUGACGCUGAUGCACGAAAGCUAGGGGAGCAAACAGG